GACGAACGCUGGCGGCGUGCCUAAUACAUGCAAGUAGAACGCACAGUUUAUACCGUAGCUUGCUACACCAUAGACUGUGAGUUGCGAACGGGUGAGUAACGCGUAGGUAACCUGCCUGGUAGCGGGGGAUAACUAUUGGAAACGAUAGCUAAUACCGCAUAAUAUUGAUUAUUGCAUGAUAAUUGAUUGAAAGAUGCUAUUGCAUCACUACCAGAUGGACCUGCGUUGUAUUAGCUAGUAGGUGAGGUAACGGCUCACCUAGGCGACGAUACAUAGCCGACCUGAGAGGGUGAUCGGCCACACUGGGACUGAGACACGGCCCAGACUCCUACGGGAGGCAGCAGUAGGGAAUCUUCGGCAAUGGACGAAAGUCUGACCGAGCAACGCCGCGUGAGUGAAGAAGGUUUUCGGAUCGUAAAGCUCUGUUGUAAGAGAAGAACGGGUGUGAGAGUGGAAAGUUCACACUGUGACG
rnacentral:rRNA from 1 species